rnacentral:rRNA from 1 species
CAGGGGACCUUCGGGCCUUGCGCUAUCAGAUGAGCCUAGGUCGGAUUAGCUAGUUGGUGAGGUAAUGGCUCACCAAGGCUACGAUCCGUAACUGGUCUGAGAGGAUGAUCAGUCACACUGGAACUGAGACACGGUCCAGACUCCUACGGGAGGCAGCAGUGGGGAAUAUUGGACAAUGGGCGAAAGCCUGAUCCAGCCAUGCCGCGUGGUGAAGAAGGUCUUCGGAUUGUAAAGCAAAGGAGUGGGAGGAAGGGC